rnacentral:rRNA from 1 species
CUAGCCGUAAACGAUGGAUACUAGGCGUUGUGAGUAUCGACCCUCACAGUGUCGUAGCUAACGCGUUAAGUAUCCCGCCUGGGGAGUACGCGCGCAAGCGUGAAACUCAAAGGAAUUGACGGGGGCCCGCACAAGCGGUGGAGUAUGUGGUUUAAUUCGAUGCAACGCGAAGAACCUUACCAGGACUUGACAUGUUGCGAAUCUCAGGGAAACUUGAGAGUGCCUUCGGGAGCGCGAACACAGGUGGUGC